UACGUAGGGUGCGAGCGUUGUCCGGAAUUAUUGGGCGUAAAGAGUUUGUAGGCGGUCUGUCGCGUCUGCUGUGAAAAUCCGGGGCUCAACCCCGGACUUGCAGUGGGUACGGGCAGACUAGAGUGUGGUAGGGGAGACUGGAAUUCCUGGUGUAGCGGUGAAAUGCGCAGAUAUCAGGAGGAACACCGGUGGCGAAGGCGGGUCUCUGGGCCGAUACUGACGCUGAGGAGCGAAAGCGUGGGGAGCGAACAGG
rnacentral:rRNA from 1 species